CUUUACUUAUUAACUGUAGGGCUGAUUUUGUAGCAGAGUCUGCCCUCCCUCUGGCUUGUGAACAGUUUGAAGAAAGGACUGCAUCUCAUUCAAUUCUGACUCCCCAGUGCCCAGCUAGAUGGCACCCAAUAUCAUUCUUUCCGUCAGCACUCUGUCCAGGAUAGCCAAGUCCAAGUGGAGAGCCCAGGCCUCUGCUUCCAGGACUCACCUGCAAGUAUGGACAAGAAGGUUCCAAAGCCCUAAUCUUCAGUACCCACCGCUGGGGAAAACACUCAGGGCAUAGCUGCCCUUACCUGGGAGCACCAGGGACCACAAUGGCUGCUUUCCUAGCCAGAUCUCAGAAACACAACAAAAGGAUUUCUUGAGAAGAACAAGCCCACAUUCUGAAAGGAGCCCUGAAUAGUUUUCGCCACGCACAGAGGGCUCCUGUGGAGCCUCCACCCUCCUCUCUAAGGAGCUGGUGUGACUGACACUGACCAGUCUGGCCAGAGCAGCUGCAGCCAAACUUGGAUCUUCUGGACGCACCAGCUUUCCUGAUUCAGGAGCCUCAGGACUAACUUCAGAUGAUGCUUAUUCUUCACCUGCUCAAAACCUGGCCUUAUCAGCCGGUAGCAGUGGGAGUUGGUGAAACAUGUCACUUCUGGCUCCAGGUUCUUUUUGAAGAAAGAACUCCCUGGGCUUCCAUGGUUACACCAGCACACACCUCUAGCCACUGCAAACAUCGCUGUUGAAUCACUUCCCACCUGGGGGCCUGAGAACCAGCGCUCCCCACGGCAGGGCCUGGCAAAUGCUAGUUCUGCAGAAUGCUGAUAAGGGGUGCACAGAGCAGUGCUCCUGCAGGCCUCGGGUACUGGCUGCUUAAGCACAGUGAAAAGCUGUCUUCACUGAAGGACUUCGCAAGGGGCCCUCAGGUGCCAACCCACCUCCAAGAGGUUAACUAAGUCGGCAUUGCUCAAAUGUGUUCAAUCCCUGAGUCCUUUUUGUCAGGACCAUCUUGUGCGUCUGAUGUUCUGUGGAACAUACUGGGAAAGGCAUGGAGACGGGUAGAGAUGGAUGAGAGCAGGAGAAUCAGACUUUGAGAGGACCAAAGAAGGAGAAGGGAAAGGAUGGAGCACAGAAAAGAGCACAAGAAAAGGAUGAGAGGGCACCCAGAGUUUCCAACAUGGAAGAUCCAGUGGGCCCAGGCUCCGGGAAGCCUGAGAGAUGCCUCUGACCAAUUCAGGGAUAUUAUUAUUACAUCUAUUGAUGGCCAAUAUUAAUACAAAUGACUGCCCAAGAAGCCACACCUGAGACUUUCGUAUUAACUGGAGAAGGGGCUGUGGCCUGUACAGAGCACCCCAUGGUGUUCUUCCACCUCCUUGUGGUCAGGGUUACCGGGCACCCAGCCCAGGACGGGUUGAUUGGCAGCCUCUGGUCUAGAAGCUGAUUUUAUUCAUUCGUUCAUUCAUUUAUUUAUUUAUCAAUUCAAAAACUUCUCCGUGGUCAUCUGGUUUGUGUGAAUGAGAGUGUGGCUUGACAAUGCAAGCUUGUUAAAAUGUCUUGGGUAAAAUAAACAUUUUACCAAAUGAUUUUAGACCUGAAAUCUUGGAGAAAAUACAGUUUAAAACCAGAAGAAACGGACUUCCCUGGUGGCGCAGUGGUUAAGAAUCCGCCUGCCAAUGCAGGGGACACGGGUUUGAUCCCUGGUCCACCACAAUUACUGAGUCUGCACUCUAGAGCCCGUGAGCCACAACUACAGAAGCCCGCGCGCCUAGAGCCUGUGAUAAAUAAAUAAAUUAAUUAAACCAGAAGAAACAACAAGAGAAAUCAGUUAUGUGAUUAGGGAUGACAAAGGCAGAGCCCUACACGGAUCAACUGUUCCUGGCUCUCUGAAGCUGCAGAACAAUCUUGGACACCUCACCCAACCAGUGCACAGUAAGAAAAUCCUGGAGUAGCCCCAAAACACAUUCCGAGAGAGACUGGUGUCUGCAGCCCGAGCAGUGCGCAUCAAAUACCGAUCCAGGCUUUCCGGGGACCCUGCACCCACUUGCACAGGGGUGCCAGUACCAUCAACAGCCCAGCCUGCGAGGCGCCACCGGGGCUCGGCUGGGAGGGAAGGAGGCCGCUCAGCCGUUGGGCGAGUUUUGCUCCACACUCUGUUGGUAAUAUCCAUGUAUGCCGACUUUUCUUUGUGUUAAUCUUUUUUACACAGCUUUUCUGAAACAGGACAUACAA